rnacentral:rRNA from 1 species
AUUGAACGCUGGCGGCAGGCUUAACACAUGCAAGUCGAGCGGGGGAAGGUAGCUUGCUACCGGACCUAGCGGCGGACGGGUGAGUAAUGCUUAGGAAUCUGCCUAUUAGUGGGGGACAACAUCUCGAAAGGGAUGCUAAUACCGCAUACGUCCUACGGGAGAAAGCAGGGGAUCUUGGGACCUUGCGCUAAUAGAUGAGCCUAAGUCGGAUUAGAUAGUUGGUGGGGUAAAGGCCUACCAAGGCGACGAUCUGUAGCGGGUCUGAGAGGAUGAUCCGCCACACUGGGACUGAGACACGGCCCAGACUCCUACGGGAGGCAGCAGUGGGGAAUAUUGGACAAUGGGGGGAACCCUGAUCCAGCCAUGCCGCGUGUGUGAAGAAGGCCUUAUGGUUGUAAAGCACUUUAAGCGAGGAGGAGGCUACUCUAGUUAAUACCUAGGGAUAGUGGACGUUACUCGCAGAAUAAGCACCGGCUAACUCUGUGCCAGCCGCCGCAGUAA